rnacentral:rRNA from 1 species
CAGCACCUCAAGUGGUCAGGAUGAUUAUUGGGCCUAAAGCAUCCGUAGCCGGCGCUGUAAGUUUUCGGUUAAAUCUGUACGCUCAACGUACAGGCUGCCGGGAAUACUGCAGCGCUAGGGAGUGGGAGAGGUAGACGGUACUCGGUAAGAAGGGGUAAAAUCCUUUGAUCUAUUGAUGACCACCUGUGGCGAAGGCGGUCUACCAGAACACGUCCGACGGUGAGGGAUGAAAGCUGGGGGAGCAAACCGGAUUAGAGACCCGAGUAGUCC